GAGUGACCACUAGGGGUUCGAUGCAAUUCUACCUAAGGUAGGUGUAAGGCCCAAUUUUAGCUCGGGCCCGCAAAUAGAUAUAAACCAAUAACCAAAAAAUAAAAAAUAAAAGUCCAGUAAACUAAAAUCCAAUAAGCGGUCCAUUUACACUAGCCCAAUGCAGCCCAAAUGCCCAAUAACCCAAACAAGCCCAAAAAAAAAAAACAGAAGCAGAAAACCUUAGCAAACUUCAGCCGCCGCAACAGUAGCCCAAGCGCUCCUCUGCUCUCCCCCACACGUGCG
rnacentral:lncRNA from 1 species